GAUGAACGCUAGCGGCAGGCUUAAUACAUGCAAGUCGAGGGGCAGCGCAGUGUAGCAAUACAUGGGCGGCGACCGGCAAACGGGUGCGGAACACGUACGCAACCUUCCUUUAACUGGGAGAUAGCCCACCGAACGGUGGAUUAAUAUCCCAUAGUAUAUUUGAGUGGCAUCACUUAGAUAUUAAAGCUCCGGCGGUUAAAGAUGGGCGUGCGUCUGAUUAGGUAGUUGGCGGGGUAACGGCCCACCAAGCCCACGAUCAGUAGCUGAUGUGAGAGCAUGAUCAGCCACACGGGCACUGAGACACGGGCCCGACUCCUACGGGAGGCAGCAGUAAGGAAUAUUGGUCAAUGGACGCAAGUCUGAACCAGCCAUGCCGCGUGGAGGAUGAAGGUCCUCUGGAUUGUAAACUUCUUUUCUUUGGGACGAAACCCCUGUUUCUACGGGGACUGACGGUAUCAGAGGAAUAAGCACCGGCUAACUCCGUGCCAGCCGCCGCCGUAAGAC
rnacentral:rRNA from 1 species